AUGUUAAUUACAUUUAUCUAUUACACGUUUCUAAUACUAUCUAAUCUAUGCUAAUAUCAUCCUUCAGCCCAAUACUCCUAGCAUGCUGCAAGUGCUUAACCCUACUCAGUCCCUUCGUAAGCGGAUCUGCUGGGUUAUCUUCUGAUGAUAUCCUCUUCACUACGAGUUGUCCUUCUUCUACACGAUGUCUAAUAAAGUGAUAUUUUCUGUCGAUAUGUCGAGAUCUACCAUGAUCCCUCGGUUCCUUGGUCAAGGUAACCGCUCCUUCAUUAUCAUAGAAAAUCUCCAUGGGCUCCUUUAUGGUAGGUACAACUCCAAGAUCACCGAUGAAGUUCUUCAACCAUAUAGCCUCCUUCGACGCUUUGCUCGUUGCAGUGUACUCUGAUUCACACGUUGAAUUAGCUAUGGUUUUCUUCUUGGAACUUUUCCAAGUUACUGCUCCUCCAUUCAGGGUAAAGACCCAGCCCGACUGCGAACGGUAGUUGUCCCUGUUGGUCUGAAAGCUGGCGUCACUAUACCCUCGCACCUUCAAGUCAUCACUCCCUCCGAGGACUAAGAACCAUUCCUUCGUCCUCCGAAGGUACUUAAGGAUAUUCUUCACCGCAAUCCAAUGUGCUUUGCCAGGAUUCCCUUGAUAUCUGCUAACCAUGCUCAAAGCGAAGGCUACAUCAGGGCGAGUACAAGUCAUAGCGUACAUGAUUGAGCCAACUGCGGAAGCGUAUGGUACUCGGCUCAUUUCUGCUAUCUCAGCUUCGGUACUCGGACUUUGAGUCUUACUCAAUUUGGCAUUACUUUGUAUCGGUAGUUCUCCCUUCUUUGAGUUUUCCAUACUAAAACGUUUUAGUACCUUCUCUAAGUAAGUAUUCUGACUAAGUCCAAUUAGUCUCUUACUUCUUUCUCUUACUAUCCUUAUUCCCAAAAUGUAAGAAGCCUCUCCGAGGUCCUUCAUAGCGAAGCACUUCCCGAGCCAGGACUUAACCUCCUGCAGAGUCGGGAUGUCGUUUCCUAUGAGUAAUAUGUCAUCGACAUAUAGAACGAGGAAGCUUACUAUACUCCCACUGGCUUUGACAUAUACACAAGAUUCGUCUUCGCUUCGUACAAAUCCAAACUCUUUGACUUUCUCAUCGAAGCAAAGAUUCCAUCUGCGAGACGCUUGCUUAAGUCCAUAAAUGGACUUCUCAAGCUUACACACUCUAUUCGGAUGCUUCGGAUCCACAAACCCCUCUGGCUGAGCCAUGUAAACAUCCUCAGCCAACUUUCCGUUAAGGAAAGCGGUCUUGACAUCCAUUUGCCAAAUCUCAUAAUCAUGAAAUGCGGCAAUUGCUAGCAUCACUCUAAUAGAUUUAAUCUUCGCAACUGGUGAGAAGGUCUCAUCAUAGUCAACUCCGGGAGUUUGAGUAAAGCCCUUCGCAACCAAUCGCGCUUUAUAUGUGUGUACGUUUCCAUCCACGUCGGUCUUCUUCUUGAAGAUCCAUUUGCACCCAACGGUCUUACGUCCGGGCACAUAAUCAACCAAAUUCCAAACUUGGUUAUCAUACAUGGAUUGGAUCUCGCUAUCCAUUGCCUCUUUCCAUUUCGCAGACUCCGGGCCUGCCAUGGCUUCCUUAUAGCUAUUAGGUUCAUCAAGAUUUAUUAGUGUACCAUCACUAAUAUACGUGUCCCCUUCGGUAGUAAUAUGAAAACCAUAAAACUGGGGUAGAACUCUAACUCUUUCGGAACGUCUAAGAGGUAAGGACUCGUCAAUCGGUUCAACCGGAGUUUCCUCCUCGGGUUGAGUGCCAGCGGUAGAGGUUCCUUCAUCUAUCGACUCUUGAAUCUCUUCAAGCUCGAUUUGCCUCCCACUGUCUCCUUGGCUUAUGAGUUCUCGCUCUCGGAAAACUCCUCUCCUCGCAACAAAGACAACAUUGUCCUUCGGUCUAUAGAAGAGAUAUCCAAAGGAUUUCUGCGGGUAGCCGAUGAAAAUACAUCGCUCACUACGAGGUUCGAGCUUGUCGUGAGUAUCUCGUCUUACGAAAGCCUCGCAACCCCAAACCUUGAUAUGUGCUAACGAGGGAGCUUUCCCUGUCCACAUCUCGUGAGGUGUUUUGGCAACCUUCUUAGUAGGGACUCGGUUAAGGAUAUGGGCGGCAGUCUCUAAGGCAUACCCCCAAAAAGAGAUAGGUAGUGAAGCACGACUCAUCAUAGAGCGAACCAUGUCUAACAAGGUUCGAUUACGCCUUUCUGCCACACCAUUCAACUGUGGUGUCCUAGGUGGCGUCAAUUGUGAAACUAUUCCACACUCCUUGAGAUAGUCGUGGAAUUCAAGACUUAGGUACUCUCCUCCUCGAUCGGAUCGAAGCAUCUUGAUUUUCCUGCCCAAUUGAUUCUCCACUUCAUUCUUGAACUCUUUGAACUUUUCAAACGUUUCUGACUUUUGCUUGAUUAAGUAGAUAUACCCAUAUCUACUAUAGUCAUCGGUAAAAGUCACAUAGAAGCGGUUCCCAUCCUUUGUGGUUGAUCUAAACGGUCCACAUACAUCGGUAUGUAUGAGGUCCAAUAAACCCUCACCCCUUUCACAUGUGCUAGUGAAGGGUGACUUGGUCAUCUUUCCAAGUAAACAAGACUCGCAUGUGUCAUCUUCCCUAAGGUCGAAUGACUCCAACACUCCAUCCUUUUGGAGUUGGGCUAUGCGCUUCUUGUUGACAUGUCCAAGACGACAAUGCCACAAGGAUGCUCUAUCCAUACCAUUGGAAGAAUCCAUGCAUAAAACAUCAUUUCCUAAGUUAUCUACAAUCAUAACAGUUUCAUAAAUUCCAUUACACGGUAUUGCUUCAAAAUAUAAGACACCAUUUAGAUAAGCAAGAAUAGAACCAUUCUCAUUAUUAAAAGAAAAUCUAAAACCUUGUCUAAACAAACCAUGAAAUGAAAUGAUGUUUCUUGCCAUUUCUGGCGAAUAGCAACAAUUGUUCAAAUCUAAACAUAAACCAUUCCUAAGCACUAAAGAAUACACUCCAAUCUUGGUCACAGGCGACGAUCUUCUGUUCCCCAUGAUUAGAUUUAUUCUUCCAUGCUCCACAUCCCUAUUUCUUCUUAGUCCCUGCAAUUCAGAACAAAUGUGGUAACCACAACCGGUAUCAAGGACCCAAGAAAUAGCAUGAGAUGAAUCAUUAGAUUUAAUUGUGUAUAUACCUGCGAAAGACGGCUUGAUCUUUCCUUCCCUGAUGGCUUGCAGGUAGUCUGGGCAGCUUCUCUUCCAAUGCCCUAUUUUAUGGCAAUGAUGGCACUCUGCCUCCUUUGGGUUAGGGUUAGGCUUAGCGGGAUCAACUUUGGUUCCACUAGAGGAGGAACCAUCUCGGGACUUUCCCUUGCGGUGGCUCUUAGACGGAGCCUUCCUCUUUUUGCCUCUUCCUUGCCUAAUGGCCAAAACAGGAGCAGCGGGUGGAUUGGGAGUGGAUGCAACCGACUUGUCCUUGAGGUUGCUUUCAUCAAUCCUAAGGAGACCUUGGAGCUUACUUAGGGUAACCUUUUCUUUGUUCAUGUGGUAGGUCAUCCUAAAUUGAUUUUAACACGGAGGCAAAGAGUGAAUCACCAUGUCGAUCGCCAAGUCUUCCCCAAAGUCAACAUCCAACUUGCGAAGAUGAUCGACAUACCUUUGCAUCUUUUGCAGGUGCACGGUUAGAGAUUCUCCAUGACCCAUUUUCGCGGAGAUCAUGUUAGUGAAAAUCUCGUAACGCUCCUGCCUCGCGUUUUGGUGGUAUCUCUCCAACAAGUCUUGGUGCAUUUCGUACGGAUACAUGUCCUCAUAGGACUUUUGGAAUUCGGCGUUCAUUGUGGCUAUCAUGAUGCAAUGAACCUUCGUCGCAUCACGUUCAUGAGUCUCAAAAGCAGUCAUUUCAGCCGGAGUAGCGAUUUCUGGAUUGAUUUUCUCAAGCUUCUCAUCGAGGACAUACUCCUUGUCCUUGUACCGAGCAAUUGUGCGAAUGUAUCUUAUCCAUUCGCUAAAGUACGUCCCAUCGAAAUUCAACUUUUGACAAAGGCUCAUCAAUGUUAAAGAACUAGCAGCAGCGUUGUUCGCGUUCGACAUUUACAAAUAGAAAGGACAAAGAUAGAUUAGAAUUGUGAAUCCCUAAUUAUCACCCAACAAGAAAAAUUAGGGCUAGGAUCCAACAACAAUAUUUACAUAUUAGAAAAGGGAUGCCGUAAUCUAACAUGCAAAUAAUUUGAAGGUAAGUGAAUGACGAUUCACUAAUUCUCCACCAUAAAAACCUAACUAUAAGUCCUAAAUGUAUUGAGAAUUCCUAGGUUCGGAUGAGAUUCAUUGAAACUAUUCAAUGGCAUGUUUAAAUCUCGAUAUGCCCCUCUCGUUUGUGACUGGGAUACCGAGGAUCACAAAGCGGGUGUGAAUUACCAUGCAAAUUCACAUGGUGCCUUCAUUGUAACAAUCACCUAUUCGAUGUGCCGGUAAACCACACACGCUCCAUCGAACUAUGAUAAACAAUGAAUCACCCUUUGCCACCUUUGCUUAGAACCAAUUAGUGUGCCGGUAAACCACACACGCUCCACUAACUUCUUAGCAAGGGUGCAAAGUGUAAUUUCAUGGGAUUGCAUCAAUUCACUUUUCCUAAAGUAACUAGGAUUGGGAAAUUUUAAAAUAUGUGUAGUUACUUUGUAUUUCUUAUUAUACUUUUAAUGAGAGGAUGAGGUUGCCCUAUCCUACCCGUUCGGCUAACGACCCUCCACCGAUCAAGCAAGCGGUGGGUGUGAGUGUACACCCAUUAAGCGCCAUUUUAUAGGCCGCAACCUUAUACCCACCUUAUAGACCGGCUUCGUGAAUGAGGCCUACUAACGGUAAGACUAGCAUUUUUAAUUAUAUAUAUAUAUAUAUAUUAAUCUUGUAAUAUUAUAUUAGUAUAGGGUUGAAUUUUAAACUUGUAAAAUUCUAGGGUUUGAAAUUUAAAUUGUCUAAAUUAAACUUUUAAUCACAAAACAUAAAUUUCAAAACUUGAGGGCAAGUUUUAAACUUUUCAAAACAUAGGGGAUCAAAUAACAAAUAAUCUAAAUUAACAUUUAAUCACAUAAUUAUCCAUAUUUGAUUUAUUUAAUAAUUUCUUGCAAAACAAUUUACCAAUUUAAUUAAAAUAAUUAAUCAAUUAUCACAUAAGGAAAUAAAUAUUUUAUUAAUUGAUAAAUAUCUUCAAUUAGAUCAAGAAUAUACUCAUAUAUAUCAUAAAAUCGGAUUUAUAUUGAUCUAAUAUGAUAAACGCAAGUAUCUCAAAGAUAAACAGCAAGAAAUCCCAAUAUUUGCUCUUUCUGACGCUUGGACUCACCGAGUACCCCAAUGGACUCGUCGAGUACACUAUGAGACUCGCCGAGUCCAUCAGACAUAAACAUAAAAUUCGAAUUUAGCAAGCAUCAAACAAGCAACCAAUGCAUCAAUUCAAUAGAAACCAACCUGGCUCUGAUACCACUAAUGGGUUUUAGCCAUAUGAACAUUCCUAUGUGCACAUGCAACCCUAAUGCUUGGAUCUAGGUUUCUCUAAUUAACCAUGCAUUGAAUCCUAGACUUCUAAUGACUAAUAGAGCAUCAUAACAUAAGAAAUCAGAAUUAGAAGUUUACCUUGAAUCACUUGCUUGAUCUUCUUGUCCUUGGAGCUUUAGAGUCACAAUUGUCACUCCUCUAAUGGCUUACAAACACCAACUAGCAAGAGGAUGAUUUGAGGGAGAGGAGAGGGGAUCAAAAUCGGCCAGGGUUUCUUUCUAAAGCACAAGUGCCGAUUUCUCUUGACCCCUAGGGUCUAUUUAUACUAGUGAGGCUCUUAGGGUUUCACCCUUAAACCCUAAUUGGAUAACUUAGGCCCUAAGCGAUCCAAUACCCUAAUUGAUAAGCCUUUGGACGGAUUCUAAGUCUAUCCUAAGCCCUAGAAAUCGUCCACCAUUAUCCAUAAAGGAUUUAUAGCCCAAAGUACAACUAUCAUACAAUUGACAGUUUAUACCCUUUUAUUCAAUUAAUCUCUUUAAGUCACCAAAUUAAUUCCUAAUUAAUUAAUGACUUAUAUUAAUCAAAUAAUAAUAUUAUUAUUCCUUAUAUUAUUCUCAUCAUAUAUUAAUAAUAUUUCUUCUCUCAUAAUAAAUCUUGUCAAGUUGCUAUGGUGAAGGCAACCCAAAAGGACCAUGCAUAAUCGGGUCAAAUACUUGCCUAAUAUAGUUUCAGCCUUAGACACUAUUCCAACAGAUACAUCACAAUAGUAAUAGUUAAAAUUUUACAACCCAUAAUUUAAACAAAACAAAAGACAAAUUUUUGAAAAUAAGAUUGUUCAAAAGUUAACUUCAUAACAUAACUUCCACACAAUGCAACAUGCUCUAUGAUGAUGAAUCUUUAUAUCCACUUACUAAUUAUUUCUUGAAAAGUGUGUAAAAUGAGGGCCAACUAUGAAAAUAGUUGAUGAGUUCACAAGUUCACUAAAUCAAGAUUUGGUAUAAAAGUUUCCAUAAAUAGAAUUAACUGCUAUAUUGAGAAACAAAGUUCGUUGCUAUAAUAAGAAAACAAGUUUAUUGCGAAGACAUGUAAAUAAGUUUCCAGUAAUAAAAGUUUGUUGCUAAAAUAAGAAACAAAGUUUGUUGCUAUACUAAGUAAACUAGUUUGUACGUAUGUGAGCAAACAGCGAGUUCACAACCAAGGCUAUGAUAGAUACCCUAUCACGAUCUAUGGUUAUCGUUCCAUAGAUGAAUAUGGUAUCAUCCACUUAAGCAAUCGGGUGUGUGGGGAGUUGUCAAUUCCUAAUAGCGCUAUCAAUAAUGAGCAUGGACUCAAAUGAGUUAAUGAGUUGUGUGAACUUUCCAGGGGCUUAACCAUGAUAAGGCCUCAUGAAUUAACAAUAGCAUACACAUACAUAGCAAAUCACUUUUGAUACAAUUGAAAAUAAGUACAACAAACAUAAUUUAGUAAACAAAAUGCGUUUCCACCCCCAAAACAUUUAAAAACCUAAAAUAGGGGGAGGCAUGAAUACUCACAAUGUUUCUAGUUACUACAAGUGGUUCCUCGGAAUACACCAACGCCUUACUACUGGGAUCCUACAAUAUCAAACACAUGCUAGUGAGUUUCUAUGUCGAAAUCUAACACUAAUAUACUAAAUUCUACAUAUAGAGAAAUGCCAAAAUUUUGUUCUAAUAUUGGUUUUAUAUGAAUUGGUAACAAUUUUUAUGAAAUGGUGAAAUUUUAUAACUCAUGUGAUUAAGACAAUUUUUGAUAUUAUUUUCCAGAUUUUUGUAAUAUUAACUAAAGGGUAUUUCAAUACAUGUAAAGGUGUUUCAAACUCUUAAAAUCCAAAAAUGUUAUCAAAUAGUUUCCAAAACAUUUCCCUUGAAUUUUUGAUGUGAUUAGCUAUUUUUUCCAAAUUUUUAAGCCUUUAUAUCAAUAUAAAUUAAUGAAUAAUUAUUAAAUAGUUAAUGUAAAUUAACAAAAAAAAUUUAAACUUCAUAUACAAUGUACAUAAUCUGGGAAAAAUAACAGAUGUGAUUUUUAUAUACUAGAGUUUGAUUCUAUGGAUUUAAGUGUAUUUAAUCUUAGGAAAAUAGAAGAAAAUAGCAUACAGAAGAGAAAAAUCAUCCAAAUUUUUAUGUAGCAUCCUAAUAAAAUAUAAAGUAUUUUGGUAAAUUUUCAUAAAUUUUGGAUAAGAAAAACUGUUUUUCCUGUUUUUAGCCCAUUAUAUACACAAAAAUCAUGGGAAAAUAGAUAUACAUUAUGAAAAAUUCCCAAAAUAUUUUUCUAAGUAUUCCACUUGGGGUAGGAGCUUUGAAAAGUUAUAUAUGAUCAUUUGACAUUCUCUAAAGUAUUUUGAUGAUUUAUUUAAACUAAAUAAAAAGAAAAUUAAAAAUCAUACUAAAUUGUAAACAAAAAUCGAUGAAACUUAAUGAGAUGUCAAUAUUUACUUUAGGGGUCAUCCACGAAUUUAUCUAGGAUUUAUGCUACUCAGAAAGCAAUUUAAAUGAUUUAUGGUCUUAUUCUCUUGUAAUAAUUAUAAUAAAUCAAAUAAAUGAAAACAACUCUUUGAAUUUUUCAUAUCCUCUUAUUAUCUUACUGGGAUUUUGAGAAAAAAAUUUCUGGAACAGAAAAGGAUAUUUAGAUUUUUUUAUGAAUAAAAUCGUUUACAUGCGUUAUUAACAAUGUACUUUGAUCAUCAAGCUCUUAAACUUGAUGUUCAUCACAUGCAUAACGGUUUGAAGACCAUGUAUGAACAUAUUUUGUUCAUAAUGGUGUUUUCAAAGGAAAAUUUUGGAUGCAUAAGGUGGAUGAACCUUUAAAACUUGUAAAAAUAUGUAUUCUAUGGUUUGACAUAGGUUUUGGUCCUUAGAUUUCACCAUUAAACAACAUGCAUGUUUUUCUUGGGUGAAAUCCUACCACCAUCAUCAUCAAACUUGACAUUCAUGGCUAUGCUCAUGAAUGUUCAUAAAUAAUGGUGUAGAUGAGGGAGAAGUGUAAGAAAACUUUUAAAACUAGAAAUAAACGUGAAAGAGAAUGAAGGAUUUUUGGUGAUUACCUUGAAGAACAACCCUAGAAGAUGAAGAUUUAAAGAUUUGUAGGUGUUAUUGCCUUAAGAUUUUCAUGGGUUUAGAGAGAGAAAGAGAGAAAAUGAGUGUUGAAAAUGGUGGAGUGCGAGAGAGAGUGAAGAGAGGGAGAUGGAAUGAAGAAGUGAUAUAAUGAUUGAAAAUUUUAGGGAAGAGAGUGCAUUGGAGAGACGGUGGCCGGAUUUUGGGAGAAUGAGAGAGGACCUCUCUCUCCUAAUUCAAAUUAAAGAAUUUCUCCCUUCAAUUUCUAUAAACUUCUAAUUUUUAUAAAAGGCUUCUUUAUUUAAAUCUUGAUUUAUUAAAAAUCUUGUUUUUAACUCAUAAAAUAUGAUUAAUGUUUGAUAAUUAAAUUUUUAUGUCUUUGAUUAUAUCCCAUAACUUAAUUAUUUAAAUUUUAUAUAAUGAGGUUCAUAACAUAUCAUAUAGAGUUUUUAGGUUUUAAAGUUUAUAAAUUUGGAUUUUAGGACUCUUUAGGGCUUUUGGAACAUUGUUAGAUAUUUAACAUCAUAAUGAACUGAAUUUAGAAGUUUUAAUUUGUUUUUAGGGUUUCAUACCCUUCUUUUAUUUUAACAAAUGUUUGGAUUUUGUUCCAAUUUGGGUAUUAGCAUUUCCUACAGUAGCUAGACAACAUACUAGAAUCGUAAGAGUCAAGUAUAUUAGUCCUAGAUUUUAGUUGUAUCCUAAUUUCUACAAGAUUCUGACCUAAUUUCUACUACUAGGCCAUGGCAUGAUGUGUAUAUGUGGUUUAUGAAAGAUGCAUGAGUCCGAGAAUGGCCUGAAUUUAACAGUUGUCACAAAUUCCAAUCCCGAUUUUACGAUCCUAAUCUUGCAAACCCAAAAAUAUCCUACGUAGGAUCAUGGUCUUGACAACCUUAGUAUGUCAUAUAUAAAUAAUCAUUCGAAUGCUAAAUAAAUAUAAUUAAUAAAUUAACUUUUUCUUCAUAUCAUAUAAACUCCCUUAACAAAAUACCAUCUCCGAUUAAGACAUAUGUUCAAACUCAUUUACCUAACACAAAUCCACCUCAUCCCAUUAAACAUUAGAAAAAAACCAAUAAAACAUAAUCAUAAUUGAUAUGUAUUUAUAAAUAAACAAAAGCAGUAUGGGAUGUUAACAAAAUAAACCUAAAGAACCAUGAAAGUAAUGGCAUCCUUCACCUUAAGCCAUCUACUAGGAAGUUUAAAAGAAAUAGCAAAACUAGUUCUCUGAUGACAAUGACAAUUUGGUAAUUACAUGAAGAAAAACAAAUAAAUUAAGAAAGACUUGUCAGGGGGAGUCUACAAAAUACACCCGUGUAUCGGCCAUAACACGAUGAUUACCUCCAAUAUAAACGAACUUUGGCUCCUCGACAUGUGCUCCACCUGGAAAAUGAGACCUAAGAGGCUCGAUGCAUUUCAACUAUUCCUCAUGUUCAACACCCGGUGCAGCAAGUACAAUCAUAAGAGCAGUAUCGUUUUCCUGAAAUAUUCAAAAAUUGUAACUACAAAGAAUAACACACAUUUACUUAUGGGUUGUUUUUUUUAGCCUUAGUUAGUUCUGUACACUACGAUACUUAAGAGAAAUUGUUCAAGACUAGCUUUUUUAAUAAUUCUAGAUGAUGGGUUUUAAGAAAAACAAUAUCCUACGUGCACAUCUAAAACCCUAAAGCUUUGGAUCUAGGUUUCUCUAAUAUACAUGAAAAUUUAUCCAAUGCUUGUAAACCCUAAUCUAGCAUACAACAAAACUAAUUGAAUACCAAAUAAACAAGUUAGAUGAGUACCUUGAUUGUUGAUUGUAGAUCUUGAAGCUUUGAGAACCUUAGCACUCCAAAUGUUGUGCCUCUAAUGAAUCACAAACACCAAAAGCAAUUGGAUGAAGCAAGAGAGAGAGGGGAGAGGGAAAAAUCGGCUCCAAGACUUCUAGGGUUAAGGUGUUGCCAAAAUCCCAUGCCCAAGGGGUCCUUAUAUAGGUGUGGGAAUUAGGGUUUCAGUGAUUAUCCUUAUAUGGUUACUUAGCCACCAAGAAGCCCAAGGAUAAUUCUAGAAGCCCAAGGAUAAUUCUAGAAGCCCAAGGAUAAUUCCACCCUAUAUUCUAGGGUUUCCUUACCCAACUUUGCAACUAUCACAUAAUUACAAGUUCAGUCCCCUUUAUUCAGUUAACCUCUUUUGACCACAAAAUUAAUUGUUGACCAAUGUUAAUUAAAUAAAUAUGAUUUCUCCUUUAAUAUAUUAUUCUUAUAAUAUAUAAAUAAACCAUAAUAACCUCUUUCUCCAUUAUUCAUCCAGUCAAGUUGUUUUGGUGAAGGAAACCCAAAAGGACCAUGUUAUAACCGAUUCAGGUACAUACCAAAUAUAGCUAUUGAUAUGUACAUAUUUAGCCCUUUAUUUAAUAUUGAUUUUUAUCAUUUAUUAGCUAUUUAUUUUCAUAUUAUGAACAAAAGAUACUUAAAAGUGUUUGAAUUGUGUUUUCAGUCCAAAAGGAAUGCUUGGAAGCAAAAAGAAACAGGAGUAGCCAUUGGGAAGUUUUGGAAUGAUCAAAAGAAGAAAAGACCAAAAAUGGAAGGAACUCGGCAAGUCUGGCAUCGGCUCGACGAGUUGCUACGAAGAUUUGCGAAGCUAAGGAAUCCUUAACUUUCCGUAAACGGGAGAACAAAGAUCCAACCCUAAAUCCGAUUCCGAAGGAGAUUAGAGGCAAUUUUCAUUAUUCUUAAUUCAAUCUAUUGUUUUUCAUCAUGUAUAGACAUAUAGAUUUCAAUUUUACGCUUCCAAUUGCCUCAAUCAUGAGCUAAAACCUUUUAACUUCUGUUUGGGGAGACAAUAUUGAUACUAUGGUUUGAUUUAUGGUAGGAUUAGUUUAAUAUUGGUGAUUCUGUUAUUUUAAGCUUGUUAAAGAACCUCAUGUGUGAAUGAUAACUAUUUUUCUGUUAAUAGGAAGUUAAUUAAGUGCAUGAACAUCUCUUAAUUGUUUACCUCGUAUAAUUUAUGUGAACACUUUAUUAUAUGACUACGAAUAACGAAUGUGAAACUAGAAUUAAUAAGAAAAUAAGUAAAUUUACGUGUGAGCUUGUGCGAUGACCAUCAGCAAGAGGUUAACUAAAGGGCCAAAUUAGUUAACCAAUACAAGUCUUAAUUAACCCGAAUAAAUAACCUAGGGAAUUAAAUUAAAUUAGACAAUUGGCCACUGUUUGAGUUAGUUUGGUUUCUAAGGAUUAGUGUAACGAAUGUGAGCCUAAUCACUUAAAACGCUAGACAAUAGAAGAAUUAAUCCAUUGCACUAUUACCAUAAAAUCAACCAUAAGAUCAAUUGAAUUGAACCUAAACAGAAGUCUCCUUCAUUAUUGAAUUUAGUCAAAUCUUUGCAUAUCUAGUUUUUAGUUAAUUAGUUGAAGUAUUAGUUAAUAAGUUUCUAGUCUUGUAAAACUAGAGAAAACCCCCUCUUUUAUUUGUUAGUUGCUUUUAGAUAAUUUUAGUAAUUAGUUCAAAUUGUCGUUCCCUGAGUUCGAUACCCUGCUUACUAGAUCUAUACCGCCAAUUGGCAGGUCCACUGCCUUUUGUCUGAUUAAUUACAUUUUAUAAGUAGGAAUAAAACUAGUUGAGUAAACACACAUCAAGUUUUUGGCGCCUUUGCCGGGGUUCAGUUCCAACUUUGAAUUGAUUACCAUUGUUAUCGAUCCUUUGUGUGAGAUUUUUCUUGCACAAAGUUACUGUUUUUAUUAGAUUUAGCAUUAGGAUUAAAUUUUAGUUAGUAGUUUUUAGAAAAUUUUGUUUAAAAUUUUUGUUGUUUUUGCACUCGACUCGCCGAGUCCCUUCGAAAAGACUCGACGAGUCCAUAGCUGAACAGAAAAUUUUCGUUUUUUAUUUUCUUUUGUUCUUUUUAUGCAUGUUUUUUUUACCGCACGUUUAUGACCAGGGGAGGAGGCACACCACUGAUCCCACCUUUUGACGAUCCGGAAGCAACACUUACAAGAAACAAAGGAAUAACAAUUGGAGAUGUCGAAAAACCGAAAAACUCACCACUAAGGAAUUUGAAAUCCGUUUUCAACAAGAAGAAGGGCAAGAAAGUCGGAGAAUCCAGUACCUCUUUGGUGGACAAAGACCCAAUUAAGGAGGACACCGAGUACGAAACCGAAGGAGAAGAAGACUCUACAUUCGGGCAUGAUUCCAAUUUUGACGAGGAAUUAGCUAUUCCUAUGGCUAACAUCGAUGAAGUCCCCAUGGGGGAAUGGAAAAAGAGGAUAUGAGAUGACACCGGCCCGAGACUUGUGCAACCCGCAAUUCCAACAACUGCCACUUUUCAGCUCAAGGGUCACAUCCUUGCUCAACUCAAGGAGAUACCCUUUUAUGGGAAAGACCACGAAUAUGCUUAUAAACACUUGGAUGAAGUUAAUGAUUUAGCUGAUUACUUUAAUGUUCCAAAUGUGCCUCGCGAAACCCAGCUGCUUCGUAUGCUUCCAGUAACACUCAAAGGUGCUGCGAAAGAUUGGCUCAAGUUACUCCCUCCUGGAUCCAUCACUACAUGGGCUAAGAUGAAAGACGAGUUCAUUGACCAAUUUUGCCCACCAUCAAAAAUAUCCAAGUUGAAAAAGGCCAUAGCCAAUUUUGAGCAACAAGCGGGCAAAUCACUUUAUGAGGCGUGGGAGAGGUACAAAGGUUUAUUGAGGAAUUGCCCACAUCACGACUUAAAUAGUCAACAAGAAGUCUCCAUUUUCUAUGAUGGAGUCAAUGUGACACCAAGGCAAUUACUUGAUUCGCAAGGUCCGCUCACAAGGAAGGCACCCCCGGUGAUUAAACAAUUAAUUGAAGAAUUCUCUAAGCAUUCUAGAGAAUAUCAUAAUCCUAGGAAUAAUACAAUUAAGGGAGAGGUGAAUUAUGCUUCUGAAGACAUGGAGACAAUGAUGGCGAUGUUGAAAAGCAUGGAUAGAAGAAUGGAUAAAAUGGAUCAAACAAUCCAUGCUAUUCGGGUCGGUUGUGAAAAUUGCAAUGGACCUCACCUUACGAGAGAUUGCGACUUGGACGAGAAUGGAAUUAAAAAGGCACAAGUAUGCUAUUCAAGCGGUGAUAGGUUUGAUUAUGAUUGGCGGAAACCGAAGAAAGAAUGGCUACCCUAUGAUGAAUACAAAAAGGAAAAGGAGGAGAAGUUUAGACAACAAGCAAGGGGUAUGUACCAAAAAGAGGAACCAGUGCAAGACAUGAAACCCAACUUAGAAGAGAUGCUAAUAAAAUUUAUAGCCGCUUCUGAGAAAAGACACAAUGAUCACGAUGUUGCGAUACAAGAAACAAGAACCAUAUUAAGGAACCAGCAAGCAUCCAUUCAUAACAUCGAGAAGCAGAUAGGGCAACUAGCUCAACAAGUUAACCAAAGACAAAUGGGUGAACUUCCAAGUAAAACCGAUAAUAACCCGAGAAUGAGGAACGUAAAUGCUAUAACAACUAGUUUUGCGGAAAUUUUCACUCCUCUGACUCUUACACGAAAGGCCUUAACAAAGGUGCAAGCAGAAAAGAUAGAAGACUCGAGUUCAGCAAAACCCGACUUGACUCGCCGAGUCCAUCUCAUGGACUCGACGAGUCCAAGGCCUGAUGACAAAUCUGCUAAUUCUUUAAAGCCUUACAGGCCACCUUUGCCAUUCCCAAUUCGAGCCAUACCUUAUGGGAAGGUUAAAGAAUACAGAGCUUUCAUGGAGAAUGUAAAGGCCCUUCAAGUCAAUACUCCAUUUAUUGAAAUAAUACUUCAAACGCCUAAAUAUGUAAGCUUGCUUAAGGAUCUCUUUAUUGCUAGAAAAAAUUUGGCAGAAGUCGCUGAGUUGGUGUUAAAUGAGCUGCCAGAGAAGAAGGGUGAUCUGGGUAGCAUUACCUUACCUUGCUAAUUUGGGAAUCUAAUUACCACUCGAGCGUUAACGGAUUCGGGUGCAAGCAUUAAUCUCAUGCCAUACUCUUUCUUCAAAAAGUUGAACUUGCCGGAGCCAAAGCCUAUUGACAUUAAGAUCCAUCUAGCCGAUAAGACCAUCAUUCAUCAAAAAGGUGUUUAUGAUGAUCUUCUCAUCAAGGUAGAUAAGUUUGUGUUUCCUGUGGAUUUUAUAGUGCUUGACAUGGAAGAAGACCCCAAAGUUCUCAUCAUCUUGGGGAGACCAUUUUUGAACACCACUUAUGCAUUGGUCGAUGUAUGCGAAUCCACCCUAAUACUACAGGUGGGGAACGAUUCAGUAGUGUUUAAGAAUACACAAGACAUUAAGCAUACAGAGUCAAAGAAAUAAGAAGUUUCCUCAAUAGAUUCGAGUGAUGAAUUGUUAGAAAAAGAGCUUGUACUUUUGCAAGAAGAGGAUCCAAGUAAAUUUCUACUAACUUCUAGAGGAAAUUUUGUUGCUGAAAAAGAUUUAAAGUAGAUAGAAAAGUUACUAGAUGAGGUUGAUUCAGAAGAAACAAUGGAGUUUGUGGAAUACGCAGAGACUCGCCGAGUAACAUCAACAGACUCGACGAGUCCAGUCAAAAACUUCAGUAUGUGGACAACCUUCACCUGCUAUUUACAAGUUCUUUUCUUGUCUUCGACAUGGAAAUUUUUCCUGAUCCUUGGGAAGGUCCAAAAGCAGAAGGCGAAAUUAUUGAAAAGUAUUGUGACUUCCAAAACGCUCAAGUAGCUUACCUUGAUAAAAUAAUACAAAAGAUGAAGAAAUUCGACUUGACAAGGAGGGGAGCAUGGGAGAAAAGGAUAGUGCAAGGGUUGAUGAUUUAACUAAUUCAUCCCUUGAGUCACAAAUUGCUAAUCAGGAAUUAUUGUCGCCUACAAUUGACAGAACAAAGCCUCGUGCCCGCAUCUCUACUGUUUAUGAAGUAUUCACAUUUGAACCACCAGACUCUUUAGUGAGGGAAAAGAAGUGUGGAAAAAGGGCUAGGAGUGAAUCUGAAGAUAAUGCUCAAAAGAAGAGGAAAGAGGAAUUGAGAAGAGCAUACAAGAGGAAAAGACAUGUUUACAAAACGAAAUAUAAGCAACAAAAGAUUAAGCAUGGCAUCCCGAUGAAGAACGACAAAGAAACAUAGAGUGGGAGGGAGUCCAACUAAAGACUCCUCAAAAAGAAGCGCUUGGCAGGAGGCAACCCGUUAUGAGAGUUUGCUUUCUUUUUCCUUUAUUAUUUGCAUUUUAAUUUUUGUUUGAUAUUUUUAGAAUUUUUCUGUUUUCAUCUUCUAAAUCAUCAAAAAUGAUUGCUUAAGGGUAAGCAUGGUCUGAGUGUGGGGUGGAUUGAAUAUCAUUGCAAAGAGAUGACAAAAUCAUAUAAAUUUUUUUAGAUUGCAAGUGACUCGGCGAGUUAGGACCCUAACUCGACGAUUCUAUUCAAAGUCCGGAUAACUUUCAUUCACGACCAGACUUAGCGAGUCUGACACCGACUCGACGAUUCAACUUUAUUUACUGAAAAAAAGUAUAUAAUUUUACAUAUGGUAAAACUAUGAUUUUAACCCUCAUUUGGAACACAUCUCAGCCAACACACUCGCCGUGCACCUCUCUCUCUCUCUCUCUCUCUCAAGCAUUCAUCAACUUCUUCCAAUUUUCUCUCAAUUUUUCGAAUUUCAUCAAGCAAGGAACCAUGUUUUCUAGGGGUCAAACGUCUCAAGGUAGCCAAGGGGAUCACCCUUGGUUAGAUUUUCCAAUGCUUGAAUCCAAAUCAACCAUGACUAGAUGGAAGAAAAAGCUUGUUGACAUCAAGAGAAAAGAUAUUUACGUGCCUACUGCCAUAAACUGGGAAUGGAUUGGAGAGGUUCAUUACGAAGAAGAAUUGGCACCUUAUUUGAUGAAAAGCUUUGUCCAUAAUGGAGCUUCUCAAAUAUGUGACGGAUGGAGCCAGCUUUUCCAGAUCCAGAAGCCGGUAUAUCAAGAGCUUUACUAGGAGUUCUUUUCCACGAUUACUUUUCGAGGUGGAGAAGAUUGUUAUAACCCUGGGAGCCUCACUUUUUGUCUUGGGGGCGAGGUCCGCCAAUGCUCCAUGGUAGAACUUGCUUGGCGUUUGGGAAUUUAUGACCAACAGUUGGUCCGUACAGCUGUUUUUGGUACAUUUUUGGAACACUCUCAUAAGGUGUUCCCGGAUGGCAUUACGAGCUCACGUUGGUGGAACACUAUCGCUAACAAUGUUUAUAUUCCUAAAUCUGCUCAAGAGGGUAGCAUCCGAUCACCUACUCACCACCUUAUUCACCACCUAAUAGCCAACACAAUUAACCAAAGGAAAGAUGACGACAAGGUUCCAAACCUUGAUGUUUUCUACCUUUGGUGCAUCAUCACACCAAACGUUUUCUGUAACAUUCCAUGGUGUUUGGCCACUUAUUUAAGCGAAGGGGCGGUUAAGGACCGCAAAACAUCAAAGAUUAAUGGCGUGAUGUUUGCGACCCAUUUGGCUCAUUCCUAUGGAUUAAUGGGUGCAGGAGCAUGUGGGAUGUUAACGGAGGUUUCAACCCCUCCUUUUAACACCAUACUUUUUAGAAGGGCAAGGAUUGUCGAGGAUAUUGGUGGAGGACAUUUUAUCAUACCCCAGGAUGAUGUGGUAAUUGGUCCCGUGGAGCCGGAUCGGCGAGUGAGGAGGCGUGAGUGGGAAGUGGAAGAGGAACCGCCGGUGAUUCCGGUUGACAAUGACGAAGUACCAAUGGAUUGGUACAAUAUCGAGAUGAGGCGGAUUCAAGAUCUAAUGGCGAGGGGUAUAAAUUUUAGCAACGAAUCCCACGUUCGGCUUUUUGAUCAGUUUCAUAUUCCACACAUUGAUGGGGGUAACUUCCCCUACAUUCCAUCUUGGGACGAGGUCAUUAACGCAAGGCGUAGUGGAGCCAGAGGAAGUGGAGCUAUGCAUGGAGGGGACGAUGAUGAGGAAGCAGAUGAAGACUAGUAUAUUUUUUUUACUUGUGUUUUGUUGAACAAUUUAUUUUUAUUUGCUUGGUUUUGGUUGUUUGAAUUUUCAGUAAGUUAGGAUUUAUUUAAUUUAUAUCCUCAUGGUUUGUUUUAAGUUCUCUUUUCAGAAUUUGGAAUGGGUCAAGUCUAAAAGGUCUCGAGAGUUAUAGGAGUUUCGAGUCUAGGCGAAAGGGUUAAUUAAGUCCAAGUUUUGAGUCCGGUCAUAAGGAGCAUUAAAAUGAGUCUUAUUACUGAAGAGGAGCAUUAGAAUUAAUUCAAAUAUGAAGUAAUUGGAGUCUAUACAAAUAGACCUGGAGCAGGAAGCGUAGUAUUUUCACCCAGCGGCUGACUUGUCGAGUGCAUCUACUGAAUCGACAAGUCCAAGAGUAAAAACGCGAUUUCUAUGCUUUCCCGCUACGACUCAUCGAGUGUAUCUACUGACUCGACGAGUUGAUAUGAAUUUCACCACUUCGCUGCUGACUUGUUGCUUAUAUACCAUGGCGUUUGGUUCUUAUUUUGAAGAGUGAUUUCUAGAAUUUUUUGAUUGUUUUUCCUGCAUUUUUGGAGCUUUCAACUACACGUGGCAUGUCACCCAAGGCAUGGAUGAGCUGUGCCCAUGUCUAAAGUCAGCUGAAGAUGGAGCUUUACAUGAAGAAGAUCGACCUCGCCACUACUACACCAAGGGAGUUUGUUCCAAUUCUCUCUUUAUUUUAUUGUUCUUUAUCAUGCAUACUAUGCAAUGGGGACAUUACAUGAAUUAAGUGUGGGGUAGGGGGUUGAUUACAUUAGUUAACUUAGAAUCUUAAUUUAGGAUUAAUUUUAAAAUUUUUUCAUAAAUAAAAUUGCUAGGGCUAAUUAAGAAUAUUUGUUAAAAAACAAUUAUAGAUUAUGCUAGUAUUAUGUUUGAUAAUUCUAUGAGGACCCCAAAUGUUUAGUUGAGCCUAUACACGUUCUAGUGCAUUUGUGGCCUCCUUUAUUCUAGUGAAAUCAUGGGACAAAAACACAACAUCGCUUAGUUUGAGGGAUGCAAUAUGUUUAGCAUCAUGUACCAGAAAUGUAUCCAGGAAAUUUUUUAUCUUUAAUCAAUAAAGGUUGGAGUUGAGCACUCCUGCUUAAGCAUGUAGGUAUUGAGUGAAAAAGUUAGUAACAUGUAUAAAAAAACGAGAGAAUUACAAGAAAAGUUGAAAGAGUUUUGGAGCUAUUAAAGUGUAAAUUUGAAGAUCAAAAUUCCAAAAAUUCAAAAGUUGAAGAUACCCAAAAAUCAAAGAAAAUAAAAAAAGGUGGCAAAUUUGAAGAAUUCAAAGAAUUAAAGAUUAAAUUAUCAAAGAAGUGAAGAAUUCCGAAAAAGCUCCAUAGUGGUAUCAAAAAUUGUAAUUUUCUAGAUUAUGUAUGCUUGGGUUGCUCAAGCAAAAAUACUUUAAGACUAGGAGGUUUUCUGGGGAUGGACUCGGAGGAAUGCAUAAAAUGAGCAUUGUUCAAAAGAAGUGGGCGAGUGUUUAUGAGGAUUGUGAGUAUUUAGGAUGAGGGGGUCGUUUAGGAAAAAUUUAGACACAAAUGCAUGUGUUGCGGUCUUGGCAUAAUGGCUGGGUUUGAUUGGGAUUGUCUAUGUAAUAUUAGUAUGCUUAAUUUCAGUUUUUCUUGGGGGAAAGCAAAAGUCAAGUGUGGGGUAUUUUGAUAUGUGCAUAUUUAUCCCUUUAUUUAGUAUUGACUUUUAUCAUUUAUUAGCUAUUUAUUUGCAUAUUCUGAACAAAAGAUACUUAAAAGUGUUUGAAUUGUGUUUUCAGUUCAAAAGGAAUGCUUGGAAGCAAAAAGAAGCAAGAGUAGCCACUGGGAAGUUUUGGAAUGAUCAAAAGAAGAAAAUACCAAAAAUGGAAGGAACUCAGCUAGUCUAGCAUCGGCUCGACGAGUCGCUACGAAGAUUCGCGAAGCUGAGGAAUCCAUAACAUUCCGUACACGGGGAUUAAGUGAUGGACUCGACGAGUCAGUCAUGGACUUGGCGACUUGGUUCGAAUUUAUAAAUACGGCUUUUCAAAUUGAUUCAAGAGGAGGAGAGAGAACCCCUGGGGAGAAAAGCUGCGAAUUAAAGUCAAAGAAGACCUGGAGAACGAAGAUCCAACCCUAAAUCCGAUUCCGAAGGAGAUUAGAGGCAAUUUUCAUUAUUCUUAAUUCAAUCUAUUGUUUUUCAUCAUGUAUAGACAUAUAGAUUUCGAUUUUAUGCUUCCAAUUGCCUCAAUCAUGAGCUAAAACCUUUUAACUUCUGUUUGGGGAGACAAUAUUGAUACUAUGGUUUGAUUUAUGGUAGGAUUAGUUUAAUAUUGGUGAUUCUGUUAAUUUAAGUUUGUUAAAGAACCUCAUGUGUGAAUGAUAACUAUUUUUCUGUUAAUAGGAAGUUAUUUAAGUGCAUGAACAUCUCUUAAUUGUUUAACUCGUAUAAUUUAUGUGAACACUUUAUUAUAUGACUAGGAAUAACGAAUGUGAAACUAGAAUUAAUAAGAAAAUAGGUAAAUUUACAUGUGAGCUUUUGCGAUGACCAUCAACAAGAGGUUAACUAAAGGGCCAAAUUAGUUAACCAUUACAAGUCUUAAUUAACCCAAAUAAAUAACCUAGGGAAUUAAAUUAAAUUAGACAACUGGCCACUGUUUGAGUUAGUUUGGUUUCUAAGGAUUAGUGUAACGAAUGUGAGCCUAAUCACUUAAAACGGUAGCCAAUAGAAGAAUUAAUCAAUUGCACUAUUACCAUAAAAUCAACCAUAGGAUCAAUUGAGUUGAACCUAAACAGAAGUCUCCUUCAUUAUUGAACUUAGUCAAAUAUUUGCUUAUCUAGUUUUUAGUUAAUUAGUUUAAGUAUUAGUUAAUAAGUUUCUAGUAUUGUAAAACUAGAGAAAACCCCCUCUUUUAUUUGUUAGUUGCUUUUAGAUAAUUUUAGUAAUUAGUUCAAAUUGUCGUUCCCUGAGUUCGAUACCAUGCUUACUAGAUCUAUACCACCAAUUGAUAAGUCCACUGCCUUUUGUGUGAUUAAUUACAUUUUAUAAAUAGGAAUAAAACUAGUUGAGUAAACACACAUCAGUUAUGGACUUAGACACUAAUCCAACAGUCUCCCACUUGGAUAAGUCUAAUAACUACAAAUAUAAGUAUCACUUUAGGAUCCGAUUAGCAAUCACAGUUCUCAAAAAUCUUGAUCUUAUCAAUAACCUGUCCUUUAGAUAAGGGAUCAUAUAGUCCUCCGUUCUAGAUAUUGUGCGGAUAAUUACAUGGAACAUAGUCAUACUUACUGUCCAGCAGUUUGUUUCUCGAUCUUUAAUUUAUUUUACAUAGAACUUAAUUGAACAUGUCAAUUCAGUCUUGAUCGGGCCCGACAUAUAAGUCAAACCAAAUCAUUGAGGGGCCCAGAUAUCUCUUUUACCCUCUUAGGAUAAAAGGAACAGAUAAACUCCGGUUUAUAUGCAUUUAUCAUUCACUCAUCAAAUCAUGCACAACAAUGUGUUUUAUAACAUCAAGUUUCUGAUGCGUUUACACAUUAUCAAUGCACAACCAACUUGCAAACAACAAACCAUAUAUCUAGGUUUAAAGACUAUAUAAUAUUAUCGUCUUGCGAUCACUCAUGAUAAAUUUCAUGAAGUGAUAUCAGCAAGCGUGAGUUUAAUCCAAUGCUCAAAUCUUAUCCAUAAGCACUCAUGAACGUUGCAGCAAACCUUUGUUGUGUCUAAUACACUUUACACAGUCUACAAACCAAUUCAUGACAGCCUUCUUUCAUACCUACUUCCAAAGUAUAAGCGACUACGGACUGUUCGAAUAAUCGUAUUAUUCAGGAAGUCAAAACAUGCAAAGUGAAACAAUAGGAAAAUAAUUAACACAAGACAAUAACUUUAAUCAUAAAUAAUACUCCUUUAUUUUAUCAUCAAAUGUUAAUUACAUUUAUCUAUUACACGUUUUGAAGCUAUCUAAUCUAAACUAAUUUCGUCCUUCAGCCCAAUGCUCCUAGUAUGCUGCAAGUGCUUAAUCCUACUCAGUCCCUUCGUAAGGGGAUCUGUUGUGUUAUCCGCUGACGAUACCCUCUUCACUAUGAUGAGUCCCUCUUCCACCUGAUGUAUAAUAAAAUGAUAUUUCCUGUGGAUAUGUCGGGAUCUGCCAUGAUCCCAAGGUUCCUUGGUCAAGGCAACCGCACCUUCGUUAUCACAGAAAAUUUCCAUAGGCCCCUUUACGGCUGGAACAACUCCAAGGUCACCGAUGAAGUUCUUCAACCAUAUCACCUCCUUUGACGCUUUGCUCGCUGCAAUGUACUCUGAGUCGCACGUUGAAUCAACUACAAUCUCCUGCUUGGAACUUUUUCAGGUCACUACUACUCCAUUUAAGGUAAAGAUCCAGCCUGACUGAGAAUGAUAAUCGUCUUGGUCGGUCUGAAAACUAGCAUCACUAUACCCUCGCACCCUUAAGUCAUCACUCCCACCGAGGACUAGAAACCAUUCCUUGGUCCUCAAAAGGUACUUAAGAAUAUUCUUGACUGCGGUCUAAUGCGUUCUACCAGGGUUCCCUUGAUAUCUGUAGACCAUGCUCAAAGUGAAGGCCACAUUAGGGCGAGUACAAUUCAUAGCAUACAUGAUCGAGCCAACUGCGGAAGCGUAAGGUACUCGAAUCAUUUUUGCUAUCUCAGCUUCGGUACUCGGACUUUGAGUCUU
rnacentral:lncRNA from 1 species